rnacentral:ncRNA from 1 species
AAAAGUUUAAAUUUAGCUUUAAAUUUUAAUAUUUAUUAAAUAUAUAUGUAAAUUUUAUUUUAAAAAAAUUUUUUAGCAAUAUAUAAUUUUAGAAAUUAAAUAAUUUUAGAUUUAGUUAAAUAAUUAAGUAUGAACUAAAUUUGUGCCAGCAGUUGCGGUUACACAAAUUUUGCAAUUAAAAUUUUUUAGUUAAAAUUAAUUUGAAAAUUAAAUAAUUUAAUAAAUAUUAUUUAAAGUGAAAUUUUAUAAUAUUUUAUAAUUAAAAUUUUUUAAUGAAGUUUAGAAAUUUUUAUAUAAACUAGGAUUAGAUACCCUAUUAUUUUAAAUGUAAGUAAAAAAACUAAAGAAUUAAAAGUUAAGAUCUUUAAAAUUAAGAAUUUUGGCGGUAUUUUAACUAAUCAGAGGAACCUGUCCUAUAAUUGAUAAUCCACAAUUUAAUUAACUUAAUUUAUUAAUUUUUAUAUCGUUGUAUAAAAAUAUUUUCAUAGAAAUAAAAUAUUUAAUUAUUUUUUUAGAAAAAUUAAAUCAGAUCAAGGUGAAGUUUAUAAUUAAGGAGAGAUGGGUUACAAUAAAUUUAUUUUUGGAUAAUGUUAUUUAAUAAUAUUUGAAAUUGGAUUUGAUAGUAAUUUUUAAGAAAUUUUAAAAAUGAUUUUAGUUCUAAAAUGUGUACAUAUUGCCCGUCGCUUCUAUUUAAAGUAGAAUAAGUCGUAACAUAGUUGAUUUAUUGGAAAAUGAAUCUAGAAUCAAA